rnacentral:rRNA from 1 species
CAGCCGCCGCGGGAAUACGUAGGUGGCAAGCGUUGUCCGGAAUUAUUGGGCGUAAAGGGCUCGCAGGCGGUUUCUUAAGUCUGAUGCGAAAGCCCCCGGCUCAACCGGGGAGGGUCAUUGGAAACUGGGAAACUUGAGUGCAGAAGAGGAGAGUGGAAUUCCACGUGUAGCGGUGAAAUGCGUAGAGAUGUGGAGGAACACCAGUGGCGAAGGCGACUCUCUGGUCUGUAACUGACGCUGAGGAGCGAAAGCGUGGGGAGCGAACAGGAUUAGAUACCCCGGUAGUCCCUGUCUCUUAUAC